rnacentral:rRNA from 1 species
UACGUAGGUGGCAAGCGUUGUCCGGAUUUACUGGGCGUAAAGAGCGCGCAGGCGGUCGUUCAAGUCGCGUGUGAAAGCCCCCGGCUCAACUGGGGAGGGUCACGCGAUACUGAUCGACUCGAAGGCAGGAGAGGGUAGUGGAAUUCCCGGUGUAGUGGUGAAAUGCGUAGAUAUCGGGAGGAACACCAGUGGCGAAGGCGGAUCUCUGGGCCUUACCUGACGCUGAGGAGCGAAAGCUAGGGGAGCAAACGGG